rnacentral:rRNA from 1 species
UACGGGGGGAGCAAGCGUUGUUCGGAUUUACUGGGCGUAAAGGGCGCGUAGGCGGCCACCGCAAGUCAGUUGUGAAAUCUCUGGGCUUAACCCAGAAAGGUCAACUGAUACUGCGGGGCUAGAGUGCAGAAGGGGCAACUGGAAUUCUCGGUGUAGCGGUGAAAUGCGUAGAUAUCGAGAGGAACACCUGCGGCGAAGGCGGGUGCUGGGCUGACACUGACGCUGAUGCGCGAAAGCUAGGGGAGCGAACGGG